UAGCUCAGUUGGUAAAGAAUCUGUCUGCAAUACAGGAGACCCGGGUUCAAUUCCUGG
rnacentral:tRNA from 1 species